UUAGAUAUAGUUUAUAGUAAAACAUUUGUUCUUGGUUCAAAAAAAAUAAAUAAAUAUUAUUUUCUUCU
rnacentral:tRNA from 1 species